rnacentral:rRNA from 1 species
UUGAUCCUGGCUCAGAAUCAACGCUGGCGGCGUGCCUAACACAUGCAAGUCGAACGCGAAAGUUCCGCAAGGAAUGAGUAGAGUGGCAAACGGGUGAGUUACGCGUGGGUGACCUGCCUUCGAGUGGGGGAUAACGUUCCGAAAGGGACUCUAAUACCGCAUGACAUCCUCUCUUUGAACAGAGGGACAUCAAAGCCUGUGACCGCAAGGCCAGGCGCUCGGAGAGGGGCCCGCGUCCGAUUAGCUAGUUGGUGGGGUAAUGGCUCACCAAGGCGACGAUCGGUAGCCGGCCUAAGAGGUCGGACGGCCACACUGGGACUGAGACACGGCCCAGACUCCUACGGGAGGCUGCAGUGGGGAAUUGUUCGCAAUGGGCGCAAGCCUGACGACGCAACGCCGUGUGGAGGACGAAGACUUUCGGGUCGUAAACUCCUGUCGAGUGGGAAGAAUAGCCUGCGGGUGAACAGCCUGUAGGACUGACGGUACCGCUAAAGGAAGCUCCGGCUAACUCCGUGCCAGCAGCCGCGGUAAUAAGGU